AGAACGAACGCUGGCGGCAGGCUUAACACAUGCAAGUCGAGCGGGUAGCAAUACCAGCGGCAGACGGGUGAGUAACACGUGGGAACCUUCCUAGAGGUACGGAACAACGCAGGGAAACUUGCGCUGAUACCGUAUGUGCUCUUGCGAGGAAAGAUUUAUCGCCUUUAGACGGGCCCGCGUCGGAUUAGCUUGUUGGUGAGGUAACGGCUCACCAAGGCAACGAUGGGUAGCUGGUCUGAGAGGACGAUCAGCCACACUGGGACUGAGACACGGCCCAGACUCCUACGGGAGGCAGCAGUGGGGAAUCUUGCGCAAUGCGCGAAAGCGUGACGCAGCAACGCCGCGUGGGGAAGACGGCCUUCGGUUGUAACCCUUUCAGUUGGGACGAAGCUCGCCGGUGAUAGCGGCUGGAGUGACGGUACCUUCAGAAGAAGCCCGGCUAACUACGUGCCAGCAGCCGCGGU
rnacentral:rRNA from 1 species